UCCGGUUGAUCCUGCCGGACCUGACUGCUAUUGGGGUAAGGCUAAGCCAUGGGAGCCGAACGCCCUAUCACUAUAGGGCGUGACGCACGGCUGAGUAACACGUAGCUAACCUACCCUCGGGACUGGGAUAACUCCGGGAAACUGGAGCUAAACCCGGAUAGGUGAGGAGUCCUGGAAUGGUUCCUCACUUAAAGAGAUCUUAGGGGGUUACUGCCUAAGAUCUGCCCGAGGAUGGGGCUACGGCCCAUCAUGGUAGUUGGCGGGGUAAUGGCCCGCCAAGCCUACGACGGGUAGGGGCCCUGGGAGGGGGAGCCCCCAGAUGGACCCUGAGACAAGGGUCCAGGCCCUACGGGGCGCACCAGGCGCGAAACCUCUGCAAUGCGGGAAACCGUGACAGGGUUACCCCAAGUGCUCCCGUUAAGGGAGCUUUUCCUCGCUGUAAGGGGGCGAGGGAAUAAGCGGGGGGCAAGACUGGUGUCAGCCGCCGCGGUAAUACCAGCCCCGCGAGUGGUCAGGACGAUUACUGGGCCUAAAGCGCCCGUAGCCGGUCUAGCAAGUCCUCUCUGAAAGCUCCGGGCCUAACCCGGAGAGUGGAGAGGAUACUGCUAGGCUAGGGGGCGGGAAAGGCCGGGGGUACUCCUAGGGUAGGGGCGAAAUCCGAUAAUCCUAGGAGGACCACCAGUGGCGAAGGCGCCCGGCUGGAACGCGCCCGACGGUGAGGGGCGAAAGCUGGGGGAGCGAACCGGAUUAGAUACCCGGGUAGUCCCAGCUGUAAACGAUGCAGGCUAGGUGUUAGAUGGGCGUUAGUGCCCAUCUAGUGCCGCAGGGAAGCCGUUAAGCCUGCCGCCUGGGGAGUACGGCCGCAAGGCUGAAACUUAAAGGAAUUGGCGGGGGGGCACACAAGGGGUGGAGCCUGCGGCUCAAUUGGAGUCAACGCCGGG
rnacentral:rRNA from 1 species